rnacentral:rRNA from 1 species
GGGAAUUCGAUUAGAGUUUGAUCCUGGCUCAGGACGAACGCUGGCGGCGUGCCUAAUACAUGCAAGUCGAGCGGAUUUAUCCUUCGGGAUAAGUUAGCGGCGGACGGGUGAGUAACACGUAGGCAACCUGCCUAUAAGACUGGGAUAACUAUCGGAAACGAUAGCUAAGACCGGAUAACUGAUUUUCUCGCAUGAGAAAAUUAUGAAACACGGAGCAAUCUGUGGCUUAUAGAUGGGCCUGCGGCGCAUUAGCUAGUUGGUAGGGUAACGGCCUACCAAGGCGACGAUGCGUAGCCGACCUGAGAGGGUGAACGGCCACACUGGGACUGAGACACGGCCCAGACUCCUACGGGAGGCAGCAGUAGGGAGUCUUCCGCAAUGGACGCAAGUCUGACGGAGCAACGCCGCGUGAGUGAUGAAGGUUUUCGGAUCGUAAAGCUCUGUUGCCCUAGACGAACAGCAAGAGGAGUAACUGCCUUUUGUGUGACGGUAUAGGAGAAGAAAGCCCCGGCUAACUACGUGCCAGCAGCCGCGGUAAUACGUAGGGGGCAAGCGUUGUCCGGAAUUAUUGGGCGUAAAGCGCGCGCAGGCGGUCAAUUAAGUUGGGUGUUUAAGCCCGGGGCUCAACCCCGGUUCGCAUCCAUAACUGGUCGACUUGAGUGUAGGAGAGGAAAGUGGAAUUCCACGUGUAGCGGUGAAAUGCGUAGAGAUGUGGAGGAACACCAGUGGCGAAAGCGACUUUCUGGCCUAUAACUGACGCUGAGGCGCGAAAGCGUGGGGAGCAAACAGGAUUAAAUACCCUGGUAGUCCACGCCGUAA